AGUGUGCGGUUUGGGAGAAAAUGUGUCGGAUAUUUUGGGGCGGUCACGUGGGCGGGCGGGCUCCGGGAGGCCCCGGGACAGUCCCAGCCUAGAGCCGUGCCCCCCCAGGAGCCCCCCAGUACGGCGAGCCCCGGACAUUGCGACGCUCCAUCUAAGAGACCGCCUGACGCCGGGACCUCGGGGCUCCGCCGCCUCCCUUCCCCCUCCCACUCCAGCUACGGCCCAGUUCCCUCAACCUGACCCAGUAUGUAGGAGCCAGUCUCUGCAGGCGGCCAGCCGCCAAGUCAGAACCAAGGCUCAGAAAUGGGAGGAAUCUCUACCCCCUUCCUCUCUUCACUCAACUCCCAAGUCCCUUCUCUGAGGCAAAAUAAGAGGAAGGCCAAGGACAACUCUCCUUGGCUGACAUGCAGCAUCAUUCCUUGGUGAGGAUCAGGAGCUGAGCAUCCCUCUGUGGGGACCCCCCCACUGCCCUACCUGCCUGUGUUUCCCAUUGGACUUUUGGAGGCCCAGUGGGCAGGCCAGGCAGGGCGGGUACGGAGCCUCCCA
rnacentral:sRNA from 1 species